rnacentral:misc_RNA from 1 species
CGCACAUUGCGCCCUUUGGUAUUCCGAGGGGCACGCCUGUUCGAGCGUCAUUUAAACAAUCAAGCACUGCUUGGUCUUGGACUCGGUCAAGUGACCCGUCCGUAACCCGUUGGCGGUACAGUCCGGCUUCAAGCGUAGCAAAAAUUUCGCUUUAGGAGUCCGUGGCGGUACCCGCCAGGUAACCAGUCCUCAAAGUUUGACCUCGGAUCAGGUGAGGAUACCCGCUGAACUUAA